rnacentral:lncRNA from 1 species
CACUCACGGCCCCUCCUGGAGACUCUAGGACUUGAGGCGUUUGGCCCCAUUCUCCUGUUUGUUUCUUUUCCUCUUGCAGGAUUUCAGUCACGAUUUCUUAGACGUCCACUUAAUGAACACUUCUCAACUCUUCUGCUAAGAAACAGUCCCUCAAAGGAAAAUAAUACUGUGUCCAAGACAUCAACUUCCUCACGAAGAGAAUUCAGAGAAAGUUCUUCCAACCAUGAUGACAAGUCCUGUCCAAACUCCCUCAUGGAGACGCGAAGAGUCCUCGCAGUCAACCGAGCCAGAGCAGGCGGAGCACAAGGCGGCAGGUUUUCAGCGGGAAGCCCCCUCUCCACAUAAAAGAAAAGAAACACAGAGGUAAGACGGUUGUGCUGUGGACGGACAGACGGAGAGCACGCAGCAUUGCCCUGCCUUCCCAACAUGCUGGGCAAAGCUGAUGACCAGCACUCAGAAGCAUGGGGUCCAGGCAGCGCGUG